rnacentral:lncRNA from 10 species
CCAGGGUCUCGCUCUGUCAUCCAGGCUGUACUGCAGUGGUGCGAUCUUGGCUAACUGCAACCUCUGCUUCCCAGGCUCAGGCAAUCCUCUGGGAUCAGCCUCCCAAGUAGCUCGGACUACAGCACCUUGAACACGGCUGGAGUUGAUGAGUAUCCCUGAUGGGAAGUCGAUGCUGCGUCCAUGGAGAGAAGGGGCACGGGGUUGAGUGUCCACCCAGCACCUAAUGGAGAUACAGACCCUCUCCCUGCCACUGGCGCUCCCUGUCAGGAAGCUCAGACACCCGCCUCAGCACGAGGGCCUUGCCUGGCACUGCUCCCUGGGACUGCUGGGGCUGGCAGCCUGAAAGAGGGACAGACCUAUUGUGGGGGGACCAGGAGCUCUGGAUUCACUCCCACCUAGACUCCAGGCUCAGCCACAUGCAGUCCGCGGUGAUCCUGGGCUGGCACCGGACGUUCGGAGCCUCAGUUUCCUCAUCUGUAACACAGGGCUAAGAACAGCACCUGCCUCAGGGACAAGUUACUGCCCAGAACGGGCCUGGCUCACUUCCUUCCACCUCCAAAGCUUUCCUUGACCCCUGACUUGGUGAAGUCUUGGACGUUCUUGCAGUCCGUUAAGCAGUGGUCCUUUUACGAGGACAGGGCUGGGUCUGCCUUGGGCUCGCACAGCCUGACACAGGCCCAUAUGCAGUAAGUGCUUAACAAAUGCCUGAACUGAUGCCAGGAUGGACUGGUGCUAUCAGGAAGGAACCGGAAGCCAGGCCUGGUGGCUCACGCCUGUCAUCCCAGCAUUUUGGGAGGCCGAGGCAGGCGGGUCAUUUGAGGUCAGGAGUUUGAGACCAGCCUGACCAACAUGGUGAAACCCGUCUCUACUAAAAAUACAAAUAAAUAAAUACAUCAG